rnacentral:rRNA from 1 species
AUAUAGAUGAGUUUGGUGAUGGCUCUGAUUGAACGCUGUCUAAGUGCUUGACACAUGCUAAUCGAACGAUUAAUACAGUUAAAAAAAAACUAAAUUAAUAGUGGUGUACAGGUGAGUAUAAGAUAUUUUUGCCGACCUUAAAGUAAGAGGACAAUAAGAUCUCUUAUAAACAAAAGGGUUGUACCGCUUUAAGAGGAUGAGAAAUAUCAUAGAGAGAGGUAGUUGUUAAAGUAAUGAUUUAGCUAGCCGCAGAUUCUCUUAGUCGAAACUGAAAGGUUGAUCGACCACAUUGGGCCUGAAAAAAUCCCAAUGCAAAAACGUACAGCAGUGAGGAAUAUUGGUCAAUGGUCUAACGAUCGAACUGGCAACUUAGGGAAAUGGAUGAUAUAAAAUAAUUAUAUAAUAAAGUUUAUAUAAUAAUUAUUAAUAUGCAAUAGUUGUGAAGUUUUGUCUACAUAUUGAUAAUGACAAUAUGUAUAAACAGUCUCGACUAAUUACGUGCCAGCAGUCGCGGUAAUACGUAAGAGACAAGCGUUAUUCAUCCUGAAUAGGUUUAAAGGGUACACAGACGGUCAAAUUGGCUUUAUUUGAAGUAGUUUUUGACUAGAGUUUUUUAUAUGAGAGGGUAGUACUUUUAAGUGGAGAGUUGAUAUUCUUUGAUACUAUAGGGACUGGUAAAGGCGAAGGCAGCCUUUUAGGUAAAAACUGACGUCGAAGGACGAAGGCUUAGAUAACGAACAGGAUUUGGCACCCUAGUAGUCUUUGCAGAAAAUGAUGAAUGCCAUAGGGUAGAUUUUAAUCUAUACUAUAAAUGAAAGUGUAAGCAUUUCACCUCAAGAGUAAGACGGCAACGUAGGAACUGUAAUCACUAGACCGUUUCUGACUUCAGCAGUGAAGUAUGUCGUUUAAUUCGAUAAUCCACGAAAAAUCUUACCGCAAUUUGAAUAAAUAAAAAAGUGAAAAUUUUUUAAUUUUACAGGAGUUGCACGGCUGUUUCCAGUUAAUAUUGUGAAAUAAAGAGAUAAAUUAACGAAAUCCCUCGCUUUAUUUUUAAGAGUACUUUAGGGUACUAUUUAUAUUCAAAUAAGCCAGCCAGCUAUGCUGGCUGGCUUAUUAAUAUGAAUGUUAAUAAGGUUUCUUCUUUGUAAAAGGGAACAAGACAAGUCAUCAUGGCCCUAAUAUUGCGGGCUAUAUGACGUGCCACAUAUUUCUAUACAAAAAGAUGCAAAAAUGUGAGUUUGAGCUAAUCUUUAAAAUAGAAUAUAAACAUAUGGAUUGUAGUCUGAAAUUCGACUAUAUGAAUAAGUAAUUGCUAGUAAUCGCGAAUCACCAUGUCGCGGUGAAUUGAACCUCGGAUUGGUACUAACCACUCGUCACAUGCUGAAAGAAGUUUCAUCGCAAUAAGUUUGCUCUUUUGAUACAAUACUGUUAUUUUUUUGAAUUUAAUUUCUUGUAUUGGAAUUCACCGCAUGCGUGGCUUUAAUUAGUGUUAAGUCGAAAUACGGUUCAGGUAGUGGAAGUUGCCUGGGGUUUAUUAUUUAAAA